rnacentral:rRNA from 1 species
AGUGAACGCUGGCGGUAGGCCUAACACAUGCAAGUCGAACGGCAGCACAGUAAGAGCUUGCUCUUACGGGUGGCGAGUGGCGGACGGGUGAGGAAUACAUCGGAAUCUACUUUUUCGUGGGGGAUAACGUAGGGAAACUUACGCUAAUACCGCAUACGACCUACGGGUGAAAGCAGGGGAUCUUCGGACCUUGCGCGAUUGGAUGAGCCGAUGUCGGAUUAGCUAGUUGGCGGGGUAAAUGCCCACCAAGGCGACGAUCCGUAGCUGGUCUGAGAGGAUGGUCAGCCACACUGGAACUGAGACACGGUCCAGACUCCUGCGGGAGGCAGCAGUGGGGAAUAUUGGACAAUGGGCGCAAGCCUGAUCCAGCCAUACCGCGUGGGUGAAGAAGGCCUUCGGGUUGUAAAGCCCUUUUGUUGGGAAAGAAAAGCAGCAGGUUAAUACCCCGCUGUUCUGACGGUACCCAAAGAAUAAGCACCGGCUAACUUCGUG